CCAGACUCCUACGGGAGGCAGCAGUGGGGAAUAUUGCACAAUGGGGGGAACCCUGAUGCAGCGACGCCGCGUGGGUGAAGGAGUACUUCGGUACGUAAAGCCCUAUCAGCAGGAAAGAAAAUGACGGUACCUGACUAAGAAGCCCCGGCUAACUACGUGCCAGCAGCCGCGGUAAUACGUAGGGGGCAAGCGUUAUCCGGAUUUAUUGGGUUUAAAGGGUGCGUAGGCGGGCUGUUAAGUCAGCGGUCAAAUGUCGGGGCUCAACCCCGGCCUGCCGUUGAAACUGGCGGCCUCGAGUGGGCGAGAAGUAUGCGGAAUGCGUGGUGUAGCGGUGAAAUGCAUAGAUAUCACGCAGAACUCCGAUUGCGAAGGCAGCAUACCGGCGCCCGACUGACGCUGAGGCACGAAAGCGUGGGUAUCGAACAGGAUUAGAUACCCGAGUAC
rnacentral:rRNA from 1 species